UACAGAGGUCUCAAGCGUUGUUCGGAUUCAUUGGGCGUAAAGGGUGCGUAGGUGGCGCGCUAAGUCAGGUGUGAAAUUUCGGAGCUUAACUCCGAAACUGCAUUUGAUACUGGCGUGCUUGAGGACUGGAGAGGAGACUGGAAUCAUUGGUGUAGCAGUGAAAUGCGUAGAGAUCAUGAGGAAGACCAGUGGCGAAGGCGGGUCUCUGGACAGUUCCUGACACUGAGGCACGAAGGCCAGGGGAGCAAACGGG
rnacentral:rRNA from 1 species